rnacentral:lncRNA from 1 species
GUGAUCCAGACUCGCUUUUCGGGGUAGUCGCGAUAAUUGCUUUCGUUCGACAUGACCUGGAAGUGGUUGCGACUAGCCGAAAGCCAAAAAGACGAACGUUGUCCAGACUUGACCCCCUGGUCACUGUCUGGCAGCUCCCGUCCAGGCAAAUCAAAGCGUGGUGGCCUGGUCAUCAAACGGAUACGCCCGGGCCAACCGGAAACGUGGCGGGACAAUACGCAACAGCCAACCAAUAUUUCACCUGUCCAGGAAGCGGAGGACCUAGGAGAGAUGGAUCCGACACUAGCGAACGAGUAACAAACCUAAAGCUACUCCCGAGUCAUCGUCGGGGGAUAAACGACCAACCCAAUCCUGUCACCUCGGUAGCGGAUCGUGUAAAAACGCUUCGACAAAAUUCGAAUUAAGGUGGAUUCCCAGUCGAGCUAGGCCGCCGCAGAUUGCCGAGUCGCAAACGCCGAUAUGCCCAGUAUUCGUUUCCAUUCAAUGAUUUAAUUAAGCGUUAGCGGUA